UGGGAACCGCUCCUGCCUGGGAGCACAAGGGUGCCAGCAGCGAGGAGGAGGAGACCUCUGCUUCUGCCUCCCAUCGUUUGUAACCAGAAAGGCUGGCCUGGUGGCAGACUGCACCCAGGAAGCUGCUUUCUACCCUGAGCUGUCAGUGUGAGGAGCAGGGCAGGGGCUGCUUGCUGAAACCAGCAGCUUUGCAGAGCUGGGAUUCCAGUCACUGAGCUGAAAACACAUUUGGAAAGUGCUUUUUUUCCUGGAGGAGCUGUUGGAAACGGGUGAGCCCAGACUGGAGCCAUCCCAGAGCCCAACCUGGUCCUGGUCCAGCCACUCUGUUGGGUGGCGCAAGCAUCCCUGCACCAAACAGUGAUGGAUUCACCUCACAGAGGGGAAGAUUUAGUUGCAAGCCUUGCCACUUGAUGAUGAUUAUUUCGGCUCUUCCUCUUCUUGGCCAGAUGGAGAAACUCGGGAAGGUCCCAGCUCUACAAAGCAGGAGGCAAGAGGGGAGGACUCGGCUCAGGCUGCCUGGCUGAGUGAUGAACACAUUGCACGGACAGCUUUAUAUGGCACUCAUCACGUGGAGGUCCUGACUGCCUCCCAGUGCUAAUGAAGAUCUCCUGCAAUGGGCAUGC